UCUUCACAGUCAAAAAAGCCAAGUUUGAUGGUGCCCAAGAGAAGUUCAACACAUACGUGACGCUGAAGGUGCAGAACGUGAAGAGCACUACCAUUGCUGUGCGUGGCAGCCAGCCAAGCUGGGAGCAGGACUUCAUGUUGUGAUGAGAUUAACCGCCUGGAUCUGGGCCUGACGGUGGAGGUGUGGAACAAGGGUCUCAUCUGGGAUACGAUGGUGGGCACUGUCUGGAUCCCGCUUCGCACCAUCCGCCAGUCCAAUGAG